AGGCUUAACACAUGCAAGUCGAGGGGCAGCAUGGUCUUAGCUUGCUAAGGCCGAUGGCGACCGGCGCACGGGUGAGUAACACGUAUCCAACCUGCCGUCUACUCUUGGACAGCCUUCUGAAAGGAAGAUUAAUACAAGAUGGCAUCAUGAGUCCGCAUGUUCACAUGAUUAAAGGUAUUCCGGUAGACGAUGGGGAUGCGUUCCAUUAGAUAGUAGGCGGGGUAACGGCCCACCUAGUCUUCGAUGGAUAGGGGUUCUGAGAGGAAGGUCCCCCCCAUUGGAACUGAGACACGGUCCAAACUCCUACGGGAGGCAGCAGUGAGGAAUAUUGGUCAAUGGGCGAGAGCCUGAACCAGCCAAGUAGCGUGAAGGAUGACUGCCCUAUGGGUUGUAAACUUCUUUUAUAAAGGAAUAAAGUCGGGUAUGGAUACCCGUUUGCAUGUACUUUAUGAAUAAGGAUCGGCUAACUCCGUGCCAGCAGCCGCGGUAAUACGGAGGAUCCGAGCGUUAUCCGGAUUUAUUGGGUUUAAAGGGAGCGUAGAUGGAUGUUUAAGUCAGUUGUGAAAGUUUGCGGCUCAACCGUAAAAUUGCAGUUGAUACUGGAUAUCUUGAGUGCAGUUGAGGCAGGCGGAAUUCGUGGUGUAGCGGUGAAAUGCUUAGAUAUCACGAAGAACUCCGAUUGCGAAGGCAGCCUGCUAAGCUGCAACUGACAUUGAGGCUCGAAAGUGUGGGCAUCAAACAGGAUUAGAUACCCUGGUAGUCCACACGGUAAACGAUGAAUACUCGCUGUUUGCGAUAUACUGCAAGCGGCCAAGCGAAAGCGUUAAGUAUUCCACCUGGGGAGUACGCCGGCAACGGUGAAACUCAAAGGAAUUGACGGGGGCCCGCACAAGCGGAGGAACAUGUGGUUUAAUUCGAUGAUACGCGAGGAACCUUACCCGGGCUUAAAUUGCAGAUGAAUUACGGUGAAAGCCGUAAGCCGCAAGGCAUCUGUGAAGGUGCUGCAUGGUUGUCGUCAGCUCGUGCCGUGAGGUGUCGGCUUAAGUGCCAUAACGAGCGCAACCCUUGUUGUCAGUUACUAACAGGUUCCGCUGAGGACUCUGACAAGACUGCCAUCGUAAGAUGUGAGGAAGGUGGGGAUGACGUCAAAUCAGCACGGCCCUUACGUCCGGGGCUACACACGUGUUACAAUGGGGGGUACAGAGGGCCGCUACCACGCGAGUGGAUGCCAAUCCCCAAAACCUCUCUCAGUUCGGACUGGAGUCUGCAACCCGACUCCACGAAGCUGGAUUCGCUAGUAAUCGCGCAUCAGCCACGGCGCGGUGAAUACGUUCCCGGGCCUUGUACACACCGCCCGUCAAGCCAUGGGAGCCGGGGGUACCUGAAGUGCGUAACCGCGAGGAGCGCCCUAGGGUAAAACUGGUGACUGGGGCUAAAUG
rnacentral:rRNA from 1 species